UCUCCUUCUUCAUUCUUUCUCCAUUUUCUGCAACUUCUCCUCCUUUCUCUGUGUUUUUCUGGUUUUACAGCAGCAGGAAGAGCAAGAGCUCUAGGCCUUCUUCUUCCCUCACUCUCGGUCGGUACCCAAACAGCAGCUGUCCUCCUCUCUUUCGGUCAGUGCUUGAACCAGAACAGGAACAAAAACUCUCAAUUCUCCCUCUCUCUGUUUCAGUCAAAAGAAAAGAAAAACACAAAACCAAGUUCUUACCUCUCUCUUCCUCUCUUCUGUACACGACCUUCACUGUGGACUCUAAGCCUUUCAGCUCUCCACCGUAAGCUAUUCUCUUCCUCUCCUUGUGUGUGUGGUCUUUGGAGUAAAAAAGAGGAUAAGAACAAAAUAAAAAGACAAGAAGAGGACUCACUUUUCUCUCCUCUUUAUUCCGUGGAUCUCUCUUUGUAGCAGAGAACUGUUUAUAGACAAAGAUUAGAGCUCGAGUGGUCUUCAAGUUAAAGAUACAUAGUUCGUAUUUUGUUUGUAGUCUUCUGUGUUUAUAGCAUUUUAUGUUGACAAGAUUGCUAAUAAUUUCCAUG